AUGAAUACAGACUACUGUCGAAUGUCUAAAAUUGACACUCUAUAUAUUCUACCCACUUCAUUUUUUUCGGAAUAAAAUAAAUCACUUUAUAAAUAAAAUAUACUAUUUUACUAAAUUAUAAAUAUCAAGAUCUUUUAGAAAGCAAAAAAUUGAACUCCUACCUUCGAAUACAUCAUCAUUAAACAUCGUAUUCCGAGUGUGAACAUAAUCAUUCUGCCUAAGUCGCCAGAAUAACUUAUGCCAGGCACUAAAAAUGCUUAUUUUUU
rnacentral:lncRNA from 1 species